GCCUGCGACCAUACCACGUAGAAUGCUCCGAUCCCGUUCGAUCUCGGAAGAUAAGCUGCUCGGGCCCGGUUAGUAACUUAGAUGGGUGACCGCUUGGGAACACCGGCUGUUGCAGGCA
rnacentral:rRNA from 1 species